rnacentral:misc_RNA from 1 species
GUGAAUCAUCAAAUUUUUGAACGCAAAUUGCACUCUCUGGUAUUCCGGAGAGUAUGCCUGUUUGAGGGUCAGUUUAAAUAAAAAUCGGUGUGGUUGCUGCCUUUCGUGGUGACGCAGCGGAUGUGGGUCGGAUUGCCGUUGGUUAAGUGACCUAAAAUUUUGCAUGAUUUUUUCGAACGUAUUUAAAUGAUUUUACGUACGUUUGCGAUAUCGAAUACUAGGAGCGGUCAUCGUCAUUAUCGGCGCCUAUAAUUUCUCAUCAAAAU